GGCUUCCGACCAGCUGAGCUAAAUCCCCAGCCCACGGUACUUUCGUCGAUACAUAAUGAACAAGAAGGAGGCUCGUGGAGGUGUAAAGAGAGUAAAAUCAGGACUUUUGGCAAAGUGCAGAUAGAGUGUUAAAAACGGAAACUAAGAGAAGGAUUGGGCAUAGCGUGGAAGGCCGAGGUCUACAGGGCCAGGGCAGUGGAUGCUGGGAAAUCAGACUGCCCACUGAGCUCAUGGUCCCUGGCUAUUCUGCCCACUCUGCCCUUAGGGCUCCCAGCAUUGGCCCUGUGGCAGUUUACUGGAUUGUUUUAUUUAUAAUUCUGUGGAUUGGUUCCCUGAUGUUUAAGCAUUAGCUGUGUUUCUUUGAGCCGUGGUGGAUUCUUUCUUGGAACAGCUUCGGCAGAACCUGUCCUGGCUGGGGCGGAGUUGCUAGGCAACCAGGCCUCAGCCUACAGCUGAGUUACUGCAGUGCCUUCCAGUCCCUGUCCUAAUCCACAACACUCGCCCUCCCCUAGCUGACUCAGCAAGUUAAGAAAUGCUCUAGCCACUCAUUUGCAAACAGCCCCGCCCUGAACACACCCGACCACACACUGUGUGUGUGUGAAAUGUGUCAUAAGAUUUUAUUUGAAAAAAGACCUUCUUGGCUUAAAAUAAAAACCUUGAAUUUUAGGCAGUGUUAGUGAUAUCACGAGCAUUAUUUCCCACACAGGGCUGAGAAAAGAGCUGCAGAUGCAAGGACAGAUACAGACAAAAUGUUCGAGGACCCAGAGGAUCUAAGGGACACCCCUUGAAAACAAGCUGCCAAGGUGGUUUGGGUGCUAGGAACCCCCAGUCCUGAUGACACACCCACCCAAGGAUGGCCACCAGUGCAUGAGUGUCAUGUGUGAUGGUCUGUUUAGAUCCGUGGAAUGUGACGUGGUCUCCACGUGGUCAGUGCUGGAGGAGAUGAGACCAGCAGCAGAAACGUGUGAGGUGGAAGGCAAGGACGUUUCUUUCCUUCAAAGAGAAUGACCAAGAGAUGGUCUACUGCAUCAAGGAGAGAAGGUCGUCCCAGCAAUUUCUAGACAUCAUGACGUACGUCUAGAUAUACUCUAUAAUCAGUUACAGUGGAAGCUAAGACCUAGCCUCAACUGUUUAAUCUUCUCCUUUUGUUCACGGUAAUGACAUUUUCAGCCGGGCCGACAGCACUGCAAAUAAACAUCACAUUUCCCAUCUCGUCGAGAAACGUUUCCUGGGAAGCUCUGAGGCUGUUGACCUCUGCUUCUCCUUCCUUCAAUCUGGACAGUCAGCUAGGACUAUGGACAGCUAUGUCACAUGACCAGAUGACCCCAGAACCAAGAAUGGAAUCACAAGAAGCAAAUGCAGAGAGUGUUAAACCUGCUCUGGAUCAUCACACUCACAGUUGUGGCAUCAGGAGACAGUGGCCUUGUAGGAGGAAUUCCAUAGAAUGCCUUUCCUGCCAUUAUGUGGAACAGUCUGAGGAGAGCUCUUCCUUAAAAGGCUGGAGACAACAAAAACCACUGGAUUUUCCUGCUGCUUUUACAGCCAGUGAUAACUGAAGAUGAAGAUGAAGGUUUCCAAAGGCUGUUUUCUCAGCACCGUGCCAGGAGGUGGUGGGAUUUCCUGUCCUGAAUGCAGAUGUGCAGUCUACUUUGUAACUGUGGCAGUAAACAUGGGGAAAACAACAUCACAGAGACUUCUGUGAGAGCAUUUACACACUCCCAGACACCUCCCGCAAUGGAGCAAGCCCUUCUUGUUUUAAGUUAUCAUAACAGGACUCUUCAGAGAAGCACAGUCACCAGUUAUGCAUUUAGGAUGUAUUUAGAAAGAAAUUUAAGACACUGUAUUUCUGGAUACUGGCAGGUCCAAACCUGGGGCUCGGACUGAAGACCUGGAAAGGAGCUGGACUUGCAGCUGUGGUCUGCAGCUGGCUGAAGAGCACCAUACUGCUCAGGAGAGGUAUUCUAUCCAGGCCUUCAGCUGACCGGAUGAGGCCCACCCACGUUAUGGAAGGCAAUGUGCCUUACUUACUCUACCAACUUAUAUGUCACCCUCAUUCAACUGUGCCCCUUGGA